GACGAACGCUGGCGGCGUGCUUAACACAUGCAAGUCGAGCGGGGAGGCCCUGUCUUUGGGCGGUGCUCGAGUUGACAACGGGUGAGUAACACGUCUGUAACCUGCACUUCACUGUGAGUUAACUUCAGGCAACUGGGGCUCAUACCGGGUAGGAGCUCCUGCUGCAUGGUGAGGGCUGGUAAGAUUCGGCGGUUGGGGAUGGACUCGCGGCGUAUCAGCUCGAUGGGGGGGUAGUGGCAUACCAAGGCCUUGCAGGGUAGCAGGCCUGAGAGGGUAGCAGGACACAUUGGGACUGAGAUGCGGCCCAGACUCGUACGGGAGGGAGCAGUGCAGUAUAGAGCACAAUGGGCGGAAGCCUGAUGUAGCAACGCCGCGUGCGGGAUGACGGCCAUCGGUUUGUAAACUGCUUUCGCCUGUGAUGGAACGAGAGUGACGGUAAUGGGUGAAGAAGCACCGGCUAACUACGUG
rnacentral:rRNA from 1 species